rnacentral:rRNA from 1 species
CGCUAGCUACAGGCUUAACACAUGCAAGUCGAGGGGCAGCAUGGUCUUAGCUUGCUAAGGCCGAUGGCGACCGGCGCACGGGUGAGUAACACGUAUCCAACCUGCCGUCUACUCUUGGACAGCCUUCUGAAAGGAAGAUUAAUACAAGAUGGCAUCAUGAGUCCGCAUGUUCACAUGAUUAAAGGUAUUCCGGUAGACGAUGGGGAUGCGUUCCAUUAGAUAGUAGGCGGGGUAACGGCCCACCUAGUCUUCGAUGGAUAGGGGUUCUGAGAGGAAGGUCCCCCACAUUGGAACUGAGACACGGUCCAAACUCCUACGGGAGGCAGCAGUGAGGAAUAUUGGUCAAUGGGCGAGAGCCUGAACCAGCCAAGUAGCGUGAAGGAUGGCUGCCCUAUGGGUUGUAAACUUCUUUUAUAAAGGAAUAAAGUCGGGUAUGCAUACCCGUUUGCAUGUACUUUAUGAAUAAGGAUCGGCUAACUCCGUGCCAGCAGCCGCGGUAAUACGGGAGGAUCCGAGCGUUAUCCGGAUUUAUUGGGGUUAAAGGGAGCGUAGAUGGGAUGUUAAGUCCAGUGUGAAAAGUUUGCGGCUCAACCGUAAAACUGCAGUUGAUACUGGAUAUCUUGAGUGCAGUUGAGGCAGGCGGAAUUCGUGGUGUAGCGGUGAAAUGCUUAGAUAUCACGAAGAACUCCGAUUGCGAAGGCAGCCUGCUAAGCUGCAACUGACAUUGAGGCUCGAAAGUGUGAGUAUCAAACAGGAUUAGAUACCCUGGUAGUCCACACGGUAAACGAUGAAUACUCGCUGUUUGCGAUAUACAGCAAGCGGCCAAGCGAAAGCGUUAAGUAUUCCACCUGGGGAGUACGCCGGCAACGGUGAAACUCAAAGGAAUUGACGGGGGCCCGCACAAGCGGAGGAACAUGUGGUUUAAUUCGACGAUACGCGAGGAACCUUACCCGGGCUUAAAUUGCAGAUGAAUUACGGUGAAAGCCGUAAGCCGCAAGGCAUCUGUGAAGGUGCUGCAUGGUUGUCGUCAGCUCGUGCCGUGAGGUGUCGGCUUAAGUGCCAUAACGAGCGCAACCCUUGUUGUCAGUUACUAACAGGUUCCGCUGAGGACUCUGACAAGACUGCCAUCGUAAGAUGUGAGGAAGGUGGGGAUGACGUCAAAUCAGCACGGCCCUUACGUCCGGGGCUACACACGUGUUACAAUGGGGGGGUACAGAGGGCCGCUACCACGCGAGUGGAUGCCAAUCCCCAAAACCUCUCUCAGUUCGGACUGGAGUCUGCAACCCGACUCCACGAAGCUGGAUUCGCUAGUAAUCGCGCAUCAGCCACGGCGCGGUGAAUACGUUCCCGGGCCUUGUACACACCGCCCGUCAAGCCAUGGGAGCCGGGGGUACCUGAAGUGCGUAACCGCGAGGAGCGCCCUAGGGUAAAACUGGUGA